GUUGUUGGUCAUACUAAGGUUUUCGAAAACACCAGAUCCCAUUCUAACUCCGAAGUUAAGCGCCUUAAGGCUGGGUUAGUACUAAGGUGGGGGACCGCUUGGGAAGUCUUAGUGUUGAUAAAU
rfam:Tetrahymena thermophila SB210 genomic scaffold scf_8254815, whole genome shotgun sequence.